rnacentral:rRNA from 1 species
CAGCAGCCACGGUAAUACGAAGGGGGCUAGCGUUGUUCGGAUUUACUGGGCGUAAAGCGCACGUAGGCGGACUUUUAAGUCAGGGGUGAAAUCCCGGGGCUCAACCCCGGAACUGCCUUUGAUACUGGAAGUCUUGAGUAUGGUAGAGGUGAGUGGAAUUCCGAGUGUAGAGGUGAAAUUCGUAGAUAUUCGGAGGAACACCAGUGGCGAAGGCGGCUCACUGGACCAUUACUGACGCUGAGGUGCGAAAGCGUGGGGAGCAAACAGGAUUAGAUACCCCAGUAGUCCCUGUCUCUUAUAC